UGACACGCCAUUAUCUAUGGACACGGUGUCAAAAAUUCGCGCUGAAAGCGUGGGUGUUUGUGAGAGAAAUUUCCGUGUCCAA
rfam:Chlorobium sp. GBChlB GB_Chlorobi_Contig_133, whole genome shotgun sequence.